GACGGAGGAUGCAAGCGUUAUCCGGAAUGAUUGGGCGUAAAGCGUCCGCAGGUGGCAGUUCAAGUCUGCUGUCAAAGACCGGGGCUUAACUUCGGAAAGGCAGCGGAAACUGAACAGCUAGAGUAUGGUAGGGGCAGAGGGAAUUCCUGGUGUAGCGGUGAAAUGCGCAGAUAUCAGGAGGAACACCGGUGGCGAAGGCGGAUCUCUAGGCCUUGCCUGACGCUGAGGCGCGAAAGCUAGGGGAGCGAACAGG
rnacentral:rRNA from 1 species